AUUGAACGCUGGCGGAAUGCUUUACACAUGCAAGUCGAACGGCAGCACGGACUUCGGUCUGGUGGCGAGUGGCGAACGGGUGAGUAAUGUAUCGGAACGCGCCCAGUCGUGGGGGAUAACGUAGUGAAAAUUACGCUAAUACCGCAUACGAUCUAUGGAUGAAAGCGGGGGAUCGCAAGACCUCGCGCGAUUGGAGCGGCCGAUAUCAGAUUAGGUAGUUGGUGGGGUAAAGGCCCACCAAGCCAACGAUCUGUAGCUGGUCUGAGAGGACGACCAGCCACACUGGAACUGAGAGCCGGUCCAGACUCCUACGGGAGGCAGCAGUGGGGAAUUUUGGACAAUGGGCGAAAGCCUGAUCCAGCCAGUCCGCGUGCAGGAUGAAGGCCCUCGGGUUGUAAACUGCUUUUGUACAGAACGAAAAGGUUUCUACUAAUACUAGGAGCUCAUGACGGUACUGUAAGAAUAAGCACCGGCUAACUACGUGCCAGCCGCCGCCGUAA
rnacentral:rRNA from 1 species